CCAGACUCCUACGGGAGGCAGCAGUGGGGAAUAUUGCACAAUGGGGGAAACCCUGAUGCAGCGACGCCGCGUGAGCGAUGAAGUAUUUCGGUAUGUAAAGCUCUAUCAGCAGGGAAGAAAAUGACGGUACCUGACUAAGAAGCCCCGGCUAACUACGUGCCAGCAGCCGCGGUAAUACGUAGGGGGCAAGCGUUAUCCGGAUUUACUGGGUGUAAAGGGAGCGUAGACGGCAUGGCAAGCCAGAUGUGAAAUACCGGGGCUCAACACCGGGACUGCAUUUGGAAACUGUGCAGCUCGAGUGCAGGAGAGGUAAGCGGAAUUCCUAGUGUAGCGGUGAAAUGCGUAGAUAUUAGGAG
rnacentral:rRNA from 1 species